CGCCAUGGCGGCAGCGGCGGUAGUGUCAGCGGCAGGCGGGCACUUCUCACCACGGGCGCCGGCUGAGCGCUCCGCCCCGCGCGUGCGCCACCGCGCCCGGGAACCGCCCGCGCUGCCCCCUGGCGGCCGCUACUGGUCUUUCAAAAGUGCAUCCAGCUCAUUCUCAUCAAUGAAGCCAUUUCCAUCCUGGAUAGUGCGGGAGGGACAUCAACAGCAGGAAGAACACAAGCCCUGCAAUUCCCCCUUGGACAUGGGCAUCCCCAGACCCUCACUCGGCACAGCCAGAGAUUGUCCUUCUUUGAGUCCUGCCAACAAGGAGAGAGGGAAUGGGAGCAUUUUCCCCCUUUCCUGUGCCGGUCUUCUCCUGCUUUCUUCCCAGAGGAGUUCCAGUCCCACUCAUGAGUGCCCAGAGGAGGUGGGGCUG